CAGUAUGGAUUCCUUACAGUCACCGUAAAAAGAGCCUGUGCAUUUCAGCAUUUUCAAUAUCUGGCAAAAACAGCUCACCGACUAAUGCAAAUUAUUUCAAACGGAUUGAUGAAUCAAUUGUUUUAUGAAGUUUUACAAUAUGGGGAAUAAAGCUUCCAGCCAUGUCGUCGGAGUCGAAGAAUUCGGCCAUCCUAUACAAUACCACUAUUCACAUGAAGAUUUUAUUGGACGCGAAACUAUUGGCGUUGUUUACAGAGCCGAAGUUACAAAACGUAGUGGUUACAGCUUAGGACAAAAUGGUCGCAUACCCAACAUCUCCACAUUCAGCACGCAUGCAGCGCAGUACACUGUACGAGUGAGUUCAAAAUAUCCGUUUCGUACAAGUGCACUGCACCGCUUGCGUACAGAAUGCUGGGUAUGGGGCUAUGCGACCAUUUAGUCCUACAUUGUACAUUGGAUCAGAUGUGAUAGCUGUCAAAGUGAUACGUUUAUCCGACGAUUCAGACCACGAAAAGUGGACUGAAGCUGUAGCAGGACUGCGGAUGCUCACAAGACUGGUGCACAAGCAUAUUGUGCUUCACCACAAGAUUUCCGUCAUUAAAGCGCCCCACGGAAUAACAGUGGAGCUGGCAAUGGAUUACCACAAAGGCGAUCUUGCAUCAUUUUUACGAGAAGCCUGGACAAACAACUCCUUAAUCAGUUAUGAAAAAGUCAUCCGAUUCGCAGAGCACAUAACCCGAGGACUAGAAUACUUACAUCGGGAAAACAUUAUACAUGGCGACUUAAAACCGGCAACCAUUCUUGUAAACAGCUUGCAAAACUGCCAGGAAGAGCUUGUGAUCGGACGAAAAAUUGACAUUUGGAGUUUGGGCUGCAUUAUACUAGAAAUGGCUGAAUGUUGGCAGCGCGUUACCACGAAGCGAUUGAUAUACAAAGGAGAAAUCAAACACGCUGGAAGUUAUAUCUCUAAUGGCACGUAGGCAGAGUUAAUCAUUGAUGGCUAUGUUCCAUUCAUCAGCAGCGACAUACCAAAGGAUUUGGCGGCAUGCAUUCGGCGUUGCUUGCAGUGGGACGCCAGCAAGCGGUUAUCUGCCUCUUCUCUCUUAAACGAAAUCGCUGACCUUUCUGUUAAAAGACUGCAGACGCAUUGUUACGACGAACAGCUUGAAAAUAGUCCAACUGCCACGGACAGUAAAACGCCAAAUAGCAGCUCACAAACGCCUGCUAGCGACGCCCCAGAAAGAACCGAAAUUAUUCGCUUUGGCCGCACUGUGCUAGAGUAUGAUAAAAAAGCCGACUGGAUUGGGCACGGCGGGUGUGCCACAGUUUUCAAAGCAGUUGUUAAGGUUUCUGGUGACUAUCGAGGACCCGAUGUCGUCGCGAUCAAGCAGAUUUACGAUGUAACCAGUUUAUCACCACGUGACUCUCACGCAUUAGCAACAGGAGAUUCCAAGUGGGGACGUGUGUUGAAACUGCGACACGAAAAUGUUGUUCGCUAUCCAGUGUUGCUUUACUGUCAGUUUUGGAACUUUACUUACUGUUUACUGUCGCAAACUUUUGUUUUACUUUACUGUUACUGUUUUUCUGCCCAAACCUUUACUGUUUAUUUACUGUUUACUGUUCGCCUCAAAAUUUACUUUACUAAGUAAACCAGUAUUACUCAGUAAUACUUUUUGCCAGCCAAAAAUUUCAAUCAAGAAAAUUGUUAUACCACGGAAAGUUACACGGUGUACGGCAUGAGUUCACACUGCGCAGUGCAACAACUGCAGGUCGGCCUUGCUCAUUUGGAUUUUGGCGAUAAAUUUCGCCACAAGCAGACAAAUUUCGCGCGAAGCGCGAAGGUAACAAGCAGUUUUCGGUUGAAAUCUCUGAAAAUUCCAGUAAAAAUCGUAGUAACAAAACUAAAAAUUUUCCUUUACUGUUUACUUACUGUUUACUGUCAGCCCAAAAUCUUUACUUACUUUUACUGUUACUAUUCUCAAAAAACGUUACUGUUUAUUUACUGUUUAAUAUUAGGCUACGGUUUACUGUUUACUGCCAGUUUACUUACUGUUUACUAAGUAAAGCAACAUUGUCGCUAUCACGAUGUCGUCAGCGAGCCGAUGCCAUAUGGAAGUUUCGUUCAAAUCAUGAUGGAUUACGCUCCAGGUUCGGAAUGGUGUCGUGCAUUUACUUGAUAAAAGCAAUUUUUUCGAAGAGAAGGCCAGCCGGCCAGAUGAUCCGAUAGCGGACCCAAAUGGUAACACAAAGUGAUAUCCGUGCAUGUCCGCUCUGUUAUCACUGGUUGUAGCCCGCUCUGCAGCCUUCUAUUACAUCUGUGGCACGAUAGUACACGUUAACUUUUUCCGGGCAUGUGUUUUGCUUGUAUCCACAGUAUCCCACCAUAUCCGACAGCAUCCGCUACGUAUCUUUCAUGUAUGUAUCCUCCAAAUUUUCUACUUUUGUUUGACCACUAACGUAACGUAUCUCAUCGUAUCUCUACACUUACCUAAUUCUUUAUGUAUCCCGAAGAUUAUGUUUUAAUAACCUAAAAGAACUACCUAGAUACUAGAAAGAUACUUAACGGAUACAAGUACAGUAAGGAUACGUAAAGAUACGUUGGGAUGCUGCAGUAGUGCAGGCAGGUACAGUCUGUAUGUACUAACACCCCCAAAGUUGUAUUCAGCAGGAUACAUAUCGAAUACGGUAGAGAUACUGUGUCUUUCGAAGGUGAUACGCAUCCGAACAUCACUUACUAUUCUGCAAGUCUGGCGAAUAUUGUUAAUGAGGUCAUUCUUUUUAACCAGCGCGUCCCACGAUAUUCUCGCAGUAUCCUUCGUGAAUCCUCCAUAUCCCGUCAUUUACUUUGGUUUUCUUAAGUUUUUUUUGGGAUACGUAAAUGAUACGGUUGGGAUACGGCAAUGAACAUAAUAUAACAACAAGUAAAAUAGAUACGUUGGGAUGCUGUGAGGAUUCAUGCGAGGGAAAAAAACUGUAAAAAAGUACGCCCAGAGAAGUUUUCGUGUACAAAGUUGUCUAUACCUGUACUUCGGUUUUUCGGUCACCCUAAGUUAAGACGGCGGAAUUUUGAGAAAACCGAAUUUCAUUUUGGUUCUGCGAAUUAAUAGAUCGCGACUCGCGAUCGCUGCUGAAAGAUUUAAAGGGAAAAGGCGAGAAGCUCCAACUCAGCAGUGGGGCCGACUUCGGGAAGCAAAUCACGAGGGGUCUGGUAUUUCUCCAUGCAAAUGAUAUCACACACACCGAUAUGAAACCGGCUAACGUGCUCCUGCGAAAGACUAGCACAGAGGAGUACCAUCUGUUCAUUGGAGAUCUGGACACCAGCGUCUUCAUGGAGCACAGUUACACCACUAGCAAAGACCCCAACCGCUUAUUAUAUACUGCACCGUACAUGUCACCCGAAAUGGCCGGGUAUGUUCUCCAGACAGAAGCGACAGCCCGACCUGGUAGAAAAACGGAUGUAUGGAGCAUGGGUUGUAUCCUUAUUGCCCUGGUCAACAGCCAUUUGGGCACUACAGAUCAAUGGCUGGAAAAGGGCGAUACGAAGGAAAGCUUUCAAAUUACUGAGAAGGUAUCCUCUAUGACGGUUGUUUUCAAGGUGAAGGGCGGAUUUAGACCGGUGAUCGAUCGGAGUACGCAUCAAGGUAUUCGGGAAUUAAUCGAGAACUGUUUGCGGGAUGAUGCUGAGCAAAGAUUUUCCGCUGCAUCCGUACUCGACACUCUGGAAUAUUUGGAUUUGUAGCAGCCGGAUCUGCCGACAUGUGGCAAUAUUCUUUUAAAAUUUUGCAUGGUUAACGAAAGCGCUGGUGGGUGUACUUCCACCGUAAACAUGUCUUCUGUGGUGGACAAACGAUAUAAGUUCCAUACGCGGACAUUUGGGUGCUGUGAACAUACCCUUCACGAUUAGGGUGCGAUGAACACCCGACUGCUCUGCAGCUCGCAACGCUACUAACAUCACGGUCGGAAUUUUAAAAAUAAAUCCAAGUUUAAAACGCACAGCAUCCAGUACGAGUACGACUGUACAAGUACUCCCACAUAUUUGUUUAUUUCCACUAUCUUGUUGUUCUAGAUUUGUUGUAAUGAUGUUUGUUUUUCUUUUUUUACUAAUUAUUCUGAUUUGCUACGUGUACUAAAUCUACCUGUCCACAAAUAUCAGCUAUCAGCUAUGAAUGUAGUCGCCAGAGCUUGUCAUAAUGAUGCUAUGGACGCAGCAGUCAAGCCAUGUCAGGAAGGAAUUUCUGUUCUGUGACUCAAAAUUGGGAAGCACUAUGAUCUUAUAAAAUGUGGUUUGAAGAUACGAUAAUUUUUUGUGGAAUGUAAUUUGUCGA